rnacentral:rRNA from 1 species
GACGAACGCUGGCGGCGUGCUUAACACAUGCAAGUCGAACGAUGAAGAAAAGAAUCGAAGCUUCGGCAGAAAUUCAUUUCGGAUUAGUGGCAGGCGGGUGAGUAACGCGUGAGCAACCUACCUCUUACAAAGGGAUAGCCUCGGGAAACCGGGAUUAAUACCAUAUAACAUUGUGACGAAGCAUUUCGAUGCAAUCAAAGCUACGGCGGUAAGAGAUGGGCUCGCGUCCCAUUAACCGGAUGGUGAGGUAACGGCUCACCAUAGUGACGAUGGGUAACCGGCCUGAGAGGGUGAACGGUCACACUGGAACUGAGACACGGUCCAGACUCCUACGGGAGGCAGCAGUGGGGAAUAUUGCACAAUGGAGGGAACUCUGAUGCAGCGACGCCGCGUGAGUGAUGAAGGAAUUCGUUUCGUAAAACUCUGUUCUAUGGGAAGAAAAGGACUGUACCAUAGGAGAAAGCUCCGGCUAAAUACGUG